rnacentral:rRNA from 1 species
GAUGAACGCUGGCGGCGUGCCUAAUACAUGCAAGUCGAGCGAACAGACGAGGAGCUUGCUCCUCUGACGUUAGCGGCGGACGGGUGAGUAACACGUGGAUAACCUACCUAUAAGACUGGGAUAACUUCGGGAAACCGGAGCUAAUACCGGAUAAUAUAUUGAACCGCAUGGUUCAAUAGUGAAAGACGGUUUUGCUGUCACUUAUAGAUGGAUCCGCGCCGCAUUAGCUAGUUGGUAAGGUAACGGCUUACCAAGGCAACGAUGCGUAGCCGACCGGAGAGGGUGAUCGGCCACACUGGAACUGAGACACGGUCCCGACUCCUACGGGAGGCAGCAGUAGGGAAUCUUCCGCAAUGGGCGAAAGCCUGACGGAGCAACGCCGCGUGAGUGAUGAAGGUCUUCGGAUCGUAAAACUCUGUUAUUAGGGAAGAACAAAUGUGUAAGUAACUAUGCACGUCUUGACGGUACCUAAUCAGAAAGCCACGGCUAACUACGUG